UACGUAGGGGGCAAGCGUUGUCCGGAUUUACUGGGCGUAAAGAGCGUGUAGGCGGCCAAGCAGGUCCGUUGUGAAAACUGGAGGUUUAACCUCCAGACGUCGACGGAAACCGCGUGGCUAGAGUCCGGAAGAGGAGAGUGGAAUUCCUGGUGUAGCGGUGAAAUGCGCAGAUAUCAGGAGGAACACCAAUGGCGAAGGCAGCUCGCUGGGACGUGACUGACGCUGAGACGCGAAAGCGUGGGGAGCAAACAGG
rnacentral:rRNA from 1 species